GACGAACGCUGGCGGCGUGCUUAACACAUGCAAGUCGAACGGAAAGGCCCUGCUUUUGUGGGGUGCUCGAGUGGCGAACGGGUGAGUAACACGUGAGUAACCUGCCCUUGACUUUGGGAUAACUUCAGGAAACUGGGGCUAAUACCGGAUAGGAGCUCCUGCUGCAUGGUGGGGGUUGGAAAGUUUCGGCGGUUGGGGAUGGACUCGCGGCUUAUCAGCUUGUUGGUGGGGUAGUGGCUUACCAAGGCUUUGACGGGUAGCCGGCCUGAGAGGGUGACCGGCCCCAUUGGGACUGAGAUACGGCCCAGACUCCUACGGGAGGCAGCAGUGGGGAAUAUUGCACAAUGGGCGGAAGCCUGAUGCAGCCACGCCGCGUGCGGGAUGACGGCCUUCGGGUUGUAAACCGCUUUCGCCUGUGACGAAGCGUGAGUGACGGUAAUGGGUAAAGAAGCACCGGCUAACUACGUG
rnacentral:rRNA from 1 species